CCUACGGGUGGCAGCAGUGAGGAAUAUUGGUCAAUGGGCGAGAGCCUGAACCAGCCAAGUCGCGUGAAGGAUGACGGCCCUACGGGUUGUAAACUUCUUUUGUCAGGGAGCAAUUGGGUCCACGCGUGGGCUUAGCGAGAGUACCUGAAGAAAAAGCAUCGGCUAACUCCGUGCCAGCAGCCGCGGUAAUACGGAGGAUGCGAGCGUUAUCCGGAUUUACUGGGUGGAAAGGGAGCGUAGACGGCAAGGCAAGCCAGAAGUGAAAGGGCAGGGCUCAACCCUGUACAUGCUUUUGGAACUGUGGUGCUAGAGUGCAGGAGAGGUAAGUGGAAUUCCUAGUGUAGCGGUGAAAUGCGUAGAUAUUAGGAGGAACACCAGUGGCGAAGGCGGCUUACUGGACUGUAACUGACGUUGAGGCUCGAAAGCGUGGGGAGCAAACAGGAUUAGAUACCCCAGUAGUC
rnacentral:rRNA from 1 species